GACGAACGCUGGCGGCGUGCUUAACACAUGCAAGUCGAACGGAAAGGCCCUGCUUUUGUGGGGUGCUCGAGUGGCGAACGGGUGAGUAACACGUGUGUACCCUGUCCUUGACUUUGGGAUAACUUCAUGAAACUGGGGCUAAUACCGGAUAGGAGCUCCUGCUGCAUGGUGGGGGUUGGAAAGUUUCGGCGGUUGGGGAUGGACUCGCGGCGUAUCAGCUUGUUGGUGGGGUAGUGGCUUACCAAGGCUUUGACGGGUAGCCGGCCUGAGAGGGUGACCGGCCACAUUGGGACUGGGAUACGGCCCAGACUCCAACGGGAGGCAGGAGUGGAGAAUAGUGCACAAUGGGAGGAAGCCUAAUGCAGCAACGCCGCGUGCGGGAUGACGGCCAUCGGUUUGUAAACCGCUGUCGCCUGUGACGAAGCGUGAGUGACGGUAAUGGGUAAAGAAGCACCGGCUAACUACGUG
rnacentral:rRNA from 1 species